UAGAAUGUGGUGUAAAGGAAACAACGUGGAAUUUUGAGUUCUUAAAUGUAGGUUCAACUCCUACUGUUCUAG
rnacentral:tRNA from 1 species